rnacentral:sRNA from 1 species
CCACUUAUUUUCAAACAAUGAAAUUAAAGAAAAAUACUGCAAGGUGCUGUUUACAAAUAGAUUCUUCAUUACUUCUUCCAUCUAUUUUUUACAAACAUUCAUAUCACAGUCCUUAUGAUCCAGAUAUAUCUUGUCUAAAAAAGAAAUCCUUGCUCUCUCCCUUUGCAUUUUACUGUCUAGUUAGAAAGCAUGUUUCCCCCUACAACUUUGAAAACCUGGAUUUGCUUGGUUUAAAAUGUAGGUACACUGGCUCUACAAACGGCCACACUAUUGCAGAUUCUUAAAUGAAUUCUAUGACACAAAUUAUAAAAGAAAACAUUUUCCAACAACUUUCUUUUAAAAAAAAAAACAAUUUCAGAACUAUUUAAACAGAGAAAGAAACUUUUUCUAUACUUUUUUUUUAAAUAUCCCAAUCUCUUGAUUAAGGUUGCUUAUCAAUCAGCAAAGUUCUACAACUUUUGAUGAAACAAUGUACAUUUCAAGAAUUCCAAACUGUUCAAUUAACGAAAGGUAGAUUUGAUUUGAAUUUACUGUAAUGUUUAAGUUUUGUUACUGACUUUUUAGACCCCUUUAAUGUGUUACAACUUGGGACUUUGCUGAUAUAUUUGCCCUUAUGAAAAGGAUUCAUUCAAAUGUUAUAAUGUUAUAUCCGAGAUAUACCUUGUUACUGUUCUUAAGACAAAAAGUGUAUUUUCUUAGAAGUUAUCUUCAAAAAUAAAGCCAGUAUUGAAUGUG